rnacentral:lncRNA from 1 species
AACUGGACGGGAUCUUAGAGACUAUUCCCCUUAUUUUGAGAGUAAACAUUCAGUUGAAAGUUAAAGAAAAUAACUCAAACUGGCUGAAACAAUAAAAGGAAUUCAUUGGCUCACAUUAACUGACAAAUUCCAGAUAUUGAGUAGGCUUCCUGUAUGAUUUGAGCCAGAGUUUAUAAUAUAGUCUACUUUUCAGUGAUAUUCUUGGCUCUGCUCCAUUCUGUAUAUUGGCUUCAUCCUUGGCCUGGCUUUCCUUGUAAGGCUACUGGUAAUUUUGGGACGGUAUAUAUCAUAUUUACACCCAAGGUAAGAAGAGGAUGUUCCUUUCUCCAACUAUCAAACAAAAGUUCUGAACCUCAUCCUAAUUAGGCCAGCUUAGGAUAACUGUUCAUCCCUGAGUCAGUAACUCUUAAAAGGAAUAUAGGUUCACAAAGACAUCCUAGAGCUAGGUGUAAACCCAAUACCAUGUGAAGGACAUGAACACUACACAACGAAGGAGGAGGGGAUGGAUUCUGAUUAAACAGCCACCUAUUAGGGAGGAACUUCCUUUCCUCUUGCCUCACGUUUCCAUGUAGAGGAACUUCUACUACAGUAACACUGUUGGCCCCCACUUCACCCCUCCCCUGCCUGCUAGGUUUGCAAAGUAGUUCAUGGUCUUCAUUUCUCCAUUGGAUGGCGCUAAUCUAAUUAAAGUUAGCAAGCAUUGGAGAGUCUUCUAUUUCCUUCCCACCUGGGGCUUACAUGGGACAGCAAUACUGAACUAAAUGUAGAUGCUCUACAGAUUCAAAUAUCCCCUUCGGUGGCCUGAGCCAGGGUUUGGUCAGCGGGAAGAAAAGAUUGAAGGGAUGGAAAGUAAUGUAGCAAAUCUCUGCCACAGACCUGCUCUUUCUUCAGAUCAGCUUUACCUUUUUUUUUUUUUUUUUUUUUUUUUUUAAAGACAGAGUCCACUCUGUCACCCAGGCUGGAGUGCAGUGGUGCUAUCUGCACUCACCACAACCUCCGCUUCCCAGGUUCAAGUGAUUCUUCUGCCUCAGCCUCCCGAGUAGCUGGGAUUACAGGUGUGCGCCAUUGCACCUGGCUAAUUUUUGUAUUUUCAGUAGAGAUGGGGUUUUGCCAUGUUGGCCAGUCUGGUCUUGAACUCCUGACUUCAGGUGAUCUGCCCACCUCAGCCUCCCAAAGUGCUGGGAUUACAGGUGUGAGCCACCGUGCCCAGCCGGCUUUAGCAUUAACAGAGGCUACAUUUAAUAAUAGAAACUGUUCUCCAUCUGUUGGCAUCCUAUAUCUUAUUUCUCAAUUGGUUCCAAUCUUAGGGAAGAAAGAUGAAGUUGUUGAUUGACCUUUUAAAACCCAAAUCCUGCUGGGUAUAGUGGCUCAUGCCUGUAAUCCCAGCACUUUGGGAGGCUGAGGUGCGGGCAGAUCACCUGAGGUCAGGAGUUUGAGACCAGCCUGGCCAACAUGGUGAAACCCUGUCUCUACUAAAAAUACACAAAAA